UGCUUUUGGUGGGAAUCGAACCCACAAGUCGUUAAACUCCAAGGCCUAAACUUGGUGCGUUUGCCUAAUUUCGCCACAAAAGC
rnacentral:tRNA from 1 species